UGACCCUUCCCCCUGUAAAUAUGGCAGCUGUAAAUCUGCAGAGUUAAAGUUCUUCUGUAUUUUAGGGGAACGAGAGAGGGCCCCAGAGAGAGAAGAGAGAGACACAGUGCAGGAGAGAGGGGGAGAACCUGUGGGAGAAGGGGACUUGGAGAUAGACAGAGAGCUGGAAGAAGUAGAAAGAGCAAGGGCAGAAGAGUUGGAGAGGACAAGAGAGCUAACUGGCUCUCUUAUUGGAAUGCCACCUGGCACCAUAUCCACAGAGGACCCAACGCUGCUGCCUGGCGAAGACACUAUGCUGCCCAUGGAGAUGCCUGCAGCGUUGACCGAGGAGAGGAGCCCUGAGCCUGUUCCUCUACCCAGCGAACCAGAGAGACAGAAAAAGACACGCCCCCUACAGGCCAUUUCUCCCCCAGGCAAAGCACCUCGCAGGAGGCAACUGCUCUUCUUUGACAAGGAAACCCAGAUUACCCAGGAAGCACUGCAGCAGCAGCUGGACAACACACUCACACAGACCAGGCCCCUGGUUGUAGUAAGUAGUCCAUCUGAAAGAAAAGUCUCUGCUACUGAGCUCCUUGACAACCCCUGCUUCAGUAAGUAUCAACCCUAACCCCUGUACUAUUAAGUAUCAACCCUAACCCCUGUACUAGUGAGUACUAACCCUAACCCCUGCACUAGAGAGUAUCAAUCCUAACCCCUGCACUAGAGAGUAU
rnacentral:lncRNA from 1 species